UACGGGGGGGCGGAAGCGUUGUUCGGUAAUUACUGGGCGUAAAGGGUUCGUAGGUGGCCUGCUAAGUCACACGUGAAAUCCCUCAGCUUAACUGGGGAACUGCGUGUGAUACUGGCGAGCUUGAGUGCAGGAGAGGAACGCGGAAUUCCAGGUGUAGCGGUGAAAUGCGUAGAUAUCUGGAGGAACACCGGUGGCGAAGGCGGCGUUCUGGACUGCAACUGACACUGAUGAACGAAAGCCAGGGGAGCAAACGGG
rnacentral:rRNA from 1 species